rnacentral:rRNA from 1 species
CAAUAGCGUAUAUUAAAGUUGUUGCGGUUAAAAAGCUCGUAGUUGGAUUUCUGCUGAGGAUGACCGGUCCGCCCUCCGGGUGAGUAUCUGGCUCAGCCUUGGCAUCUUCCUGAAGAACGUAACUGCACUUGACUGUGUGGUGCGGUAUUUAGGACAUUUACUUUGAGGAAAUUAGAGUGUUUCAAGCAAGCGCACGCCUUGAAUACAUUAGCAUGGAAUAAUAAGAUAGGACCUCGGUUCUAUUUUGUUGGUUUCUAGAGCUGAGGUAAUGAUUGAUAGGGAUAGUUGGGGGCAUUCGUAUUUAACUGCCAGAGGUGAAAUUCUUGGAUUUGUUAAAGACGGACUACUGCGAAAGCAUUUGCCAAGGAUGUUUUCAUUGA